rnacentral:rRNA from 1 species
AGAGUUUGAUCCUGGCUCAGAACGAACGCUGGCGGCGUGGAUUACACAUGCAAGUCGAACGCGAAAGGGGGCAACCCCGAGUAGAGUGGCGAACGGGUGAGCAAUACAUCGGAACGUGUCCUGUAGCGGGGGACAACCUCGAGAAAUCGAGGCUAAUACCGCAUACGAUCUACGGAUGAAAGUGGGGGACCGCAAGGCCCCACACUAUAGGAGCGGCCGAUGCCGGAUUAGCUAGUUGGUGGGGUAAAAGCCUACCAAGGCGACGAUCCGUAGCUGGUUUGAGAGAACGACCAGCCACACUGGGACUGAGACACGGCCCAGACUCCUACGGGAGGCAGCAGUGGGGAAUUUUGGACAAUGGGCGCAAGCCUGAUCCAGCCAUGCCGCGUGAGUGAAGAAGGCCUUCGGGUUGUAAAGCUCUUUCGGCCGGGACGAAAUGGCGCGGGGUAACAUCCCGCGUCGAUGACGGUACCGGAAGAAGAAGGACCGGCUAACUACGUGCCAGCAGCCGCGGUAAUACGUAGGGUCCAAGCGUUAAUCGGAAUUACUGGGCGUAAAGCGUGAGUAGGCGGUCUCGCAAGUCCGAUGUGAAAUCCCCGGGCUUAACCUGGGAACUGCGUUGGAAACUAUGAGACUAGAGUGCGGCAGAGGGGGGUGGAAUUCCAGGUGUAGCAGUGAAAUGCGUAGAUAUCUGGAGGAACACCGAUGGCGAAGGCAGCCCCCCUGGGUUAGCACUGACGCUCAUACACGAAAGCGUGGGGAGCAAACAGGAUUAGAUACCCUAGUAGUCC